rnacentral:lncRNA from 1 species
GGGCCAGAGUGACUCACUGGGCUCCCACCUGGGGUCAGACUUGGGGAGGGUGGCAGAUCCUCGGCCAACAAGGCUCCUGCUCGCCCUUCAGUCCUAGAUGCAGCCAUCUAGGACCAUUCUUGGAGCCAGGGAGGAAGGGCCAAACACCAGUUGGGGAACCCCCGAGGAGCGGUAGGGAAACUGGAGACUUAGAAGAAGCUAAUGGGGUCGUCGUAGUAGUACGUAUCCAAAAUCUACCAGAACAAACAAGCUGCGAGCAGCAGGGAGCCAGAGAAGGGGCUGGACCAGGGGCUUUCAGUGAUCUUUCCAUCCCGGAAUCUCCGAGAGCACUGGAGAGAGCCGAACCGGGAUUUCCAAGGGCUCUGAUGACUCACUGCCCCACACGGCCCGGGGAUACGAGCCUCCUCACGGCUGCCGAGGCCUUAGAGGGCUUCCAGAGAGGGUUUGAGCCCGAGAGUGGGGCCACGCCGUCCACAGAUGGUGGAGAACACGAGGGAGGGGAUGGUCCGCUUGCCUACGCUCCCUGUGCACCUUCCUCGCGGGCAUGCGCACACGGGUCCGUCGCAGUUCGCUUCCCGGCUAAGCCACAGUUCUCUCUACCCUGACAAGUUUGCUCUUCCCUCCGUUCCACGCCUGCACUCACUUUGCUAAAGGCGCGAGUGCCAGGUUCCAGUGACCCCUGACUCUAGGCGGGAAGGGGGGUCUGCUAACCUGAUGUCCGGGUAGCUCCGUAUAAGUGUUUCCAGGUGCCGCCGGAUGUCGUCUUUGUAUGUCUCGCCCAGGAUCUCAGCCACGGACAGGAUGGCUUGGUCCAGCCACUUGGCUUCAGAGCCCUAAGGAAACAAGGAGAUAUGUGCGUGGUCCAUCUCCCCCAAGGAGUCCCUGCCUACAACCUCUCCUGUCGUGCCCAGAAACACCCCUCCCGUGUGUCCGCAGCGGGUGGCUUGCCCAUAAGAAGAUUCCACGGAGUCAGGGAAUAAGAUUCCACAGAGUGGACAUCUGCAAUGAUUCUGGAGAGUUUUCUUCCUGUCUGCACAGACGGAAAUCCGAGCCCUGACCAGGAGAGUGCUGAUUGGAACCUGUCACCAGUAGGAGGCCAGCAACCCAGAUAAGGGGCUUGGGCUGAAAGUGCUUCGGAAAGAUCUCCCACAGACCUUGCCCAUCAUAACCCUCAUUCCUUUUUUGCCUUCACCCACAAAUACAAUGUAAAGUGAAACUCCCACCUGGGCCCACCCCUUUAGAGUCCAGCCCCAUUGCCAUUUUCCCUGUGGAGUCUGAAGAACCGCCUAGUGGAAGCUCUCUUCUCCUGCACCCGCUGUGAGGGCUCUUUACAGAAUGAAAACAACAGAAUAGGGGGGUUCCUGGCUGGGUUUGCUGGCCAGAGACUGAGCCAGCUUGACAUUCAGACACAGCUCCUACCAAGCCCUGGAAGGUGUUGCUGAUGGCCUGGGCAUCCAGGUUCAUCUUACUGGAGCCCUUCAAUCGAUCCUGGCCACUGAACCUCUCGUGGGGCCUCAGCACCUGCCCCAGGUAUUCUCGGACCACAAAACGGUGCACCUCCUGCAGCGUCUCCUGGGAAAGGGAGAUGGCAGGGUCAGGAUCAAAGCCAUGGACAGCCCUGCACACCCAUGCCAGCCACCCACUUCCUGGUACCUGUGCCAGUGGUGGGGUCACAUGCUCAAGGUGAUGUGCAAAGUCCACCACCUUGUCCAUGAGGGGACGAAGUGUGUCCUGUGUGAGCCAGCUCUUGGUAUAUAGCACCUUGAAUAGAGGCUGGGGACAGAAGGGCAUGGGAAGUGAGCUCUGUUCACCAUUCCCAACCCCCUUCACUUCUGGGCCCCCUUGUGCAGCCCUCUUUUCUAGGCACAGAUUUUAUCACUAGGUCUUUCUCAUAAUGCCUCCUCCAAUGGGCAUGGUAGAGUCUGCGAGUCUUGUCAGGCCCUGCUUACGGUGUGUGCUGGGUACACCUUGAGUGUCUGGUCAAGGGGCUUUAAGGCCUUAUUUCUUGGCCCACCAUCCCAGAGCUUGGGUGUUGAUCCCUGAGCGGAAGGAGCAGCAGUGGGUUGGUGGGUGCUUCCCAACCACCCUUGCUCAGGGAGAACUCUUGGAGGGCAAAGGAAAGUGUCCAGUUCACCUGCAUGUCUUGCUGUACAAUCUGGAGCAAAUGUUUCUGGAAGCUAUUGGUGGCAGUCACCAGGGGUCUCUCCAGUUCCUUUAUGGUUCCUGGGAACCUGGCCAGAAGACUGGUUCUGGGGAGGGGCCAAGACAAGGAGUAAGCUGGGGCACAGGAAAACAGGCAGAGGAGCAAGACCCCCUCCCUCAGGGCACACCCCUGAAGGCUGGGCACAGAACUGGUCUGCCUCUGCUCAUUUUCCAGCAGUUCUUUUUCUUCACAACACGCUGCGACCCUUUAAUACCGUUCUUCGUGUUGUGGUGACCCCCCAACCAUAACAUUAUUUUAGUUGCUUCUUCAUAACUGUAAUGAAGCGCGAUGCAGACACCUGAUAUGCAGGAUAUCUGAUGCCUCUGUGGAAGGGGUCGGGACCCACAGGUUGAGAAUCCCUGGUUUGGCUUGUAUUGUCCCUGGAGUUGUGCAAAGUAGCACCCAGGGACAGAACUGAAUAAAAGGACAACAUCAAAGCCCUGAGACCCAAUCAUUAACUCUGGCAGCAGGGUGGCAGGGUGGCAGCUUUGGUCCCGUCUGGCAGCUUUGAGUCAGACCUUCAUGCCUCCUGGUGAUGGGACAUUGUAGCAUAGCCAUGCCGGGCAGAAACUCUCCACUGAGCUUCAUCCCUGCCUUUGAGGAUGACAAUGUUCCAUUGGACAGGCAGGCCUGGUCCAACUCCUAGCUGCAUGGGUUGCUGGUUGCACCAGCAUCCACUUGCCCACCUGUACCAGGGUACCCUAGGCUUGGGAAGUCACACUGGGUGGAUUAAGCAGGCACAUAGUGUAUCACAGUGCUCAUAAAGAGUGCUCAUAUGAGGGGGCUGAUGAGAUGGCUCAGUGGGUAAGAUUGCUCUUCUAAAGAUCCUGAGUUUAAUUCCUAGCAACCACAUGGUAGCUCACAACCAUCUGUAAUGAGAUCUGAUGCCCUCUUCUGGUGCAUCUGAAGACAGCUACAGUGUACUUAUUUUAAUAAUAAAUAAAUCUUUGGGUCAGAGGGAGCAGGGUUGACUAGACCAGAGCAAGCAGGGUUGACCUGAGCGAGCAGAGGUCCUAAAUUCAAUUCCCAACAACCAGAUGAAGGCUCACAACCAUCUGUACAGCUACAGUGUGCACUUAUAUACAUAAAAGAAAUAAAU